CUUAGGUGACUUUUCAAGGGU
rnacentral:siRNA from 1 species